GGUUAAGCGACUAAGCGUACACGGUGGAUGCCCUGGCAGUCAGAGGCGAUGAAGGACGUGCUAAUCUGCGAAAAGCGUCGGUAAGGUGAUAUGAACCGUUAUAACCGGCGAUGUCCGAAUGGGGAAACCCAGUGCAAUUCGUUGCACUAUCGUUAACUGAAUACAUAGGUUAACGAGGCGAACCGGGGGAACUGAAACAUCUAAGUACCCCGAGGAAAAGAAAUCAACCGAGAUUCCCCCAGUAGCGGCGAGCGAACGGGGAGCAGCCCAGAGUCUGAAUCAGCUUGUGUGUUAGUGGAACGGUCUGGAAAGUCCGACGGUACAGGGUGAUAGUCCCGUACACCAAAAUGCACAGGUUGUGAACUCGAAGAGUAGGGCGGGACACGUGGUAUCCUGUCUGAAUAUGGGGGGACCAUCCUCCAAGGCUAAAUACUCCUGACUGACCGAUAGUGAACCAGUACCGUGAGGGAAAGGCGAAAAGAACCCCGGCGAGGGGAGUGAAAAAGAACCUGAAACCGUGUACGUACAAGCAGUGGGAGCACCUUCGGGUGUGACUGCGUACCUUUUGUAUAAUGGGUCAGCGACUUAUAUUCUGUAGCAAGGUUAACCGUAUAGGGGAGCCGCAGGGAAACCGAGUCUUAACUGGGCGUUAAGUUGCAGGGUAUAGACCCGAAACCCGGUGAUCUAGCCAUGGGCAGGUUGAAGGUUGGGUAACACUAACUGGAGGACCGAACCGACUAAUGUUGAAAAAUUAGCGGAUGACUUGUGGCUGGGGGUGAAAGGCCAAUCAAACCGGGAGAUAGCUGGUUCUCCCCGAAAGCUAUUUAGGUAGCGCCUCGUGAACUCAUCUUCGGGGGUAGAGCACUGUUUCGGCUAGGGGGUCAUCCCGACUUACCAACCCGAUGCAAACUACGAAUACCGAAGAAUGUUAUCACGGGAGACACACGGCGGGUGCUAACGUCCGUCGUGAAGAGGGAAACAACCCAGACCGCCAGCUAAGGUCCCAAAGUCAUGGUUAAGUGGGAAACGAUGUGGGAAGGCACAGACAGCCAGGAUGUUGGCUUAGAAGCAGCCAUCAUUUAAAGAAAGCGUAAUAGCUCACUGGUCGAGUCGGCCUGCGCGGAAGAUGUAACGGGGCUAAACCAUGCACCGAAGCUGCGGCAGCGACACUAUGUGUUGUUGGGUAGGGGAGCGUUCUGUAAGCCUGCGAAGGUGUGCUGUGAGGCAUGCUGGAGGUAUCAGAAGUGCGAAUGCUGACAUAAGUAACGAUAAAGCGGGUGAAAAGCCCGCUCGCCGGAAGACCAAGGGUUCCUGUCCAACGUUAAUCGGGGCAGGGUGAGUCGACCCCUAAGGCGAGGCCGAAAGGCGUAGUCGAUGGGAAACAGGUUAAUAUUCCUGUACUUGGUGUUACUGCGAAGGGGGGACGGAGAAGGCUAUGUUAGCCGGGCGACGGUUGUCCCGGUUUAAGCAUGUAGGCUGGUUAUCCAGGCAAAUCCGGAUAAUCAAGGCUGAGGUGUGAUGACGAGGCACUACGGUGCUGAAGUAACAAAUGCCCUGCUUCCAGGAAAAGCCUCUAAGCAUCAGGUAACAUCAAAUCGUACCCCAAACCGACACAGGUGGUCAGGUAGAGAAUACCAAGGCGCUUGAGAGAACUCGGGUGAAGGAACUAGGCAAAAUGGUGCCGUAACUUCGGGAGAAGGCACGCUGGUGUGUAGGUGAAGCCCCUGCGGGUGGAGCUGAGACCAGUCGAAGAUACCAGCUGGCUGCAACUGUUUAUUAAAAACACAGCACUGUGCAAACACGAAAGUGGACGUAUACGGUGUGACGCCUGCCCGGUGCCGGAAGGUUAAUUGAUGGGGUUAUCCGUAAGGAGAAGCUCUUGAUCGAAGCCCCGGUAAACGGCGGCCGUAACUAUAACGGUCCUAAGGUAGCGAAAUUCCUUGUCGGGUAAGUUCCGACCUGCACGAAUGGCGUAAUGAUGGCCAGGCUGUCUCCACCCGAGACUCAGUGAAAUUGAACUCGCUGUGAAGAUGCAGUGUACCCGCGGCAAGACGGAAAGACCCCGUGAACCUUUACUAUAGCUUGACACUGAACAUUGAGCCUUGAUGUGUAGGAUAGGUGGGAGGCUUUGAAGCGUGGACGCCAGUCUGCGUGGAGCCAACCUUGAAAUACCACCCUUUAAUGUUUGAUGUUCUAACGUUGGCCCCUGACCGGGGUUGCGGACAGUGUCUGGUGGGUAGUUUGACUGGGGCGGUCUCCUCCCAAAGCGUAACGGAGGAGCACGAAGGUUAGCUAAUCCUGGUCGGACAUCAGGAGGUUAGUGCAAUGGCAUAAGCUAGCUUGACUGCGAGCGUGACGGCGCGAGCAGGUGCGAAAGCAGGUCAUAGUGAUCCGGUGGUUCUGAAUGGAAGGGCCAUCGCUCAACGGAUAAAAGGUACUCCGGGGAUAACAGGCUGAUACCGCCCAAGAGUUCAUAUCGACGGCGGUGUUUGGCACCUCGAUGUCGGCUCAUCACAUCCUGGGGCUGAAGUAGGUCCCAAGGGUAUGGCUGUUCGCCAUUUAAAGUGGUACGCGAGCUGGGUUUAGAACGUCGUGAGACAGUUCGGUCCCUAUCUGCCGUGGGCGCUGGAGAAUUGAGGGGGGCUGCUCCUAGUACGAGAGGACCGGAGUGGACGCAUCACUGGUGUUCGGGUUGUCAUGCCAAUGGCACUGCCCGGUAGCUAAAUGCGGAAGAGAUAAGUGCUGAAAGCAUCUAAGCACGAAACUUGCCCCGAGAUGAGUUCUCCCUGAGACUUUAAGUCUCCUGAAGGAACGUU
rnacentral:rRNA from 1 species